CAACAUGCAAAAUGUCGUCUGCUCACGUCGUCACACACAACGUCUUCAAAAUCAGAUGUUUUUACCACAAAACAUUUCAUAUGUGAGUUUUUGGUUCUGGUAUUGAACUCAACUGUGGAAUUAAUCUUCUUUCACCAUUACAUUCAAGGAUACACAUGGAUGAAGAAUCAUCAGUUUGGACCGCACCCUACCUCCUGAAAUAGGAUGAACACUCUAAAAAGGUUGGCAAGCCUUGGUACAAGAGAUGUGCCAGCUUUAAUUGACGAGAGCCCUUGAGAUGCAGCAUCAUCAUGAAUUCACAUCAUCUUCUCACUGCCUCAUCAAGCUACUCCAGUUCAAAUUGUUUGUUGAUUCAAAACCAUGAUGAGAAGAACACUCAAGAUGAUAAGCCUUGAUGCAAAAGAUGUAUCAUCUUUCAGAGAAGAGCCCAUUAGAUGCAGCAUCAUCAUGAACUCCAAUACGUCAUCUUCUCAGCGUCUCAAGCUUCCUCAGUUCAGUUUGUUAUUUAUUCACGGAAAACCAUAUAGUGGAUAUUAAGGUACGUCUCAAGUAGUGAAUUUUACCUAUUGUAAAAAGAUCUGUUUACAUGGACUCUUAGACAACUUACAAAGCUGUAGCGUAAAAAAUUGAAAGUCCUUUAUUUCGUAAACAGAUCUUUGUUGUCUUAUACACUCAUACAUGGACAGCACAUAGAGAGGUUUAUUUAUUGUAAAAAGGUCUGUUUACAUGGACUCUUAUAAAACCACUCGGACAUCAGUCUUUUCUGUUUACAACUGAAACAAAGUUGUUAUUUAUUUCAAAAGCUAUGAAUUUAAUUCAAAGCACAGUGUACUACGUAAACAGAUCUUUACACGUACAGCCCUAUGUGGCUGUUUUUGUUAUGAAGUGAAAACUUUGCUGAAUAUUGUUGUGUACAUUUUGUAGCUCCAUUGAAUCAUCAGGCCUGAUACUUUGCAGAGACAAGUUACGCAGCAAUUGCCUCCAUGCACACGGCUUUGGUCAUUGCCUUGGUGCCCAUUGAAAUGUUCUGGUACUAAUUCAAAUUUCCCUCAGACUCUGGCAUUUUACUGAGAAAAAGCUGCAUUGCCUUUACAGGAAUGAAGCAUCAGGCCUGAAGAAAAAGCUGCCUUGCCCUUACAAGAAUGAAGCAUUAGGUCUGAAGAAUGGGUAAAGAAAUGCAGAAAUCAAAAGGCUACUAGCUACGACUAACAUUUUUUACUGAAUACCAAAGCAGUGUAGUGAACAAUCAUGCAACAUAUAGGCUAACAAGUUUGAAAUAUGUUUUAAAUACUUAGUUUGAUAUUUAUAUGUGGUAAAUGUGAUGUAUUUAUCUCACACGUGAUUAUAUUUAUCUGCAAAACAUUGUACGAACCGAGCAGGGCCUUUGGUUUUAACGGAAUCCAAAUAUAUGGAAACUUGGAGUGAACAUCUGCAUUUCCAUAAAGUUUAAUGCUUACUUUUGAAAGUACAGUACCGUAUCUUUUUACCAUUUUAUCUUGAAAACUAGAUUUCGCAAAUCCAUGAGGACCCCAAAAUUAAUAGUUAUACAUUUUUUUAAUGCUUUUCUGAUGUAUUUAACAUGGAACCAUGGCAAUGCAGAUGGCCCUUCUAAGCUUCCAUACAAUUUUUGCAUCAUCUUUUGAAGUCUGGUUCCAAGUCUCUUAGUGUUUAUACAACACGUAUUCUUAAUGUAGGUGCCAGACUAAUUUCUUCACACACUUGUUUUGAUUUCUACUAUAUGUAUACACUUAGCUGAUAAGUUAUCAAGGUUAUGUGUGUAAAGGCCCCUUUUAAACAACAGGUUUUAAUAUGCCAGCUUCGUAAUUCACAGUUAAGCUGAGCACAGUUACUUUAUAAUACCUAAAAUAAGAAGUUUGAAGGUUAGAAGUCGCGAACGUGUGUUCUGUGCAUUUAAAUUGUUAUAAAAAGAAAGCACCUACAACUUACGCUAAGUGCCAAUUUAUAGUUGUAAGCAUUUAUUUAUUAAAACGACACUUUCCUGUAAGUUUGUUUUUCACCAGAAUGUCUAUUACAUGUAGAAUGUCAACAGGGGUACCCUGGAGUGUAUCACGCACUGUUUUAAGGGUGUUUUAAAUGUUUUUACUCUCAAUUUUGGUAAUUUUCAGUGAUUUUCAAGUUUUUUUCCCCCAA